GAGGGUAAUAUGGUAUGAUAUCCAUCACCACAUUGAUUGCCAGGGUUGAUUUGACUGAUCUGGCUGGCUAAGCAGGUGUUCCCUUCCUUUCCC
rnacentral:sRNA from 1 species